UCUACCUAGUAGUACGGAAUAAUUGUUGGAAACGGCAACUAAUACCGUAUACGCCCUACGGGGGAAAAAUUUAUUGCUAUUAGAUGAGCCUAUAUUAGAUUAGCUAGUUGGUGGAGUAAUAGCCUACCAAGGCAAUGAUCUAUAGCUGAUCUGAGAGGAUGAUCAGCCACACUGGAACUGAGAUACGGUCCAGACUCCUACGGGAGGCAGCAGUGGGGAAUAUUGGACAAUGGGCGAAAGCCUGAUCCAGCCAUGCCGCAUGAGUGAAGAAGGCCUUUGGGUUGUAAAGCUCUUUUAGUGAGGAAGAUAAUGACGGUACUCACAGAAGAAGUCCUGGCUAACUCCGUGCCAGCAGCCGCGGUAAUACGGAGAGGGCUAGCGUUAUUCGGAAUUACUGGGCGUAAAGGGCGCGUAGGCUGAUUAAUAAGUUAAAAGUGAAAUCCCGAGGCUUAACCUUGGAAUUGCUUUUAAAACUAUUAAUCUAGAGAUUGAAAGAGGAUAGAGGAAUUCCUGAUGUAGAGGUAAAAUUCGUAAAUAUUAGGAGGAACACCAGUGGCGAAGGCGUCUAUCUGGUUCAAAUCUGACGCUGAAGCGCGAAGGCGUGGGGAGCAAACAGGAUUAGAUACCCUGGUAGUCCACGCUGUAAACGAUGAAUGUUAAAUAUGGGAAGUUUACUUUCUGUAUUACAGCUA
rnacentral:rRNA from 1 species